ensembl:lncRNA novel transcript
GACACAGACCCAGACCAUAUCAGAGUCUGCAUAGGAGGAUCUUUCCUGCUCAGGAAGAUGGUCAAACCUCAUAGAGGUAGUUUCAAACCACAGGACAAUUUCUGUGUCUUCACAGAGAAGAAAGCACUGUUAAUUCCUGUUUUUACACCCUGAAGCAGUGCACCAUAUUAAGAUACAGUGGGACUUGAGCUAUUCUUCUGUGAAGAGGAGGAGGGCAACUGUGAAAGAAAUGGCUUGACUGUAAGAUGUUCUCAGUCUAACCAAUUUUAGGAAAGAAAAUAUGUGAAGGCAGAGGAUCCAAAGCGAUUCCCUUCAAACCAUCCUACCCCAUGGGACACCCUUUGUGAACUCCCUAAGGUAACAGCAGUCCAGAACACAGAUGACCUACAGGAUUUCUGUUCCUUUCCAGCUUUUUAUUUUACCAUUGAUGCUUCCUUUCUCCUAUAAAGGAAACAACA